rnacentral:rRNA from 1 species
GACGAGGGAUCCUAGCGUUGUUCGGAAUCAUUGGGCGUAAAGCGGGUGCAGGUGGCUUUGUAAGUCGGGUGUGAAAUCCCGGGGCUCAACCCCGGAAGUGCAUUCGAUACUGCAAAGCUUGAGUGCUGGAGAGGCUAUUAGAAUACCUGGUGUAGUGGUGAAAUACGUAGAUAUCAGGUGGAAUACCGGAGGCGAAGGCGGAUAGCUGGCCAGACACUGACACUCAUACCCGAAAGCGUGGGGAUCAAACAGGAUUAGAAACCCCCGUAGUCC